rnacentral:tRNA from 1 species
GAGUUAUAUUGUAGCUAUAAUGCUUAAGGCUACGACUGUUCGAUUCAGUCCUAUCUCA